GGGGGUAUAGCUCACUGAUAGAGCAUUCGACUGCUGAUCGAGAGAUCCCCAGUUCAAACCCGGGAGUCCUCU